GCGGCUGUGGCGGAAUUGGCAGACGCGCGGCGUUCAGGUCGCCGUGAGCUCACGCUCGUGGAGGUUCGAGUCCUCUCAGCCGCA
rnacentral:tRNA from 1 species